CCAGUAUCUGCCUGACAGGUGCAGUUUUCUGUGAAAAACUGAGAUUUUCAUUUAGCAUUGUGUUGUAUUCAAAUCUAUUCCAUUCCAUUCUAAUGAUCUGUGAUGGUUGUAUUGUCAGAGGCCAAGUGUCUGGGUUCGAAGACGGUGUGAAGGCAGGCCUUUGAGUGCAGUAAGGGGGGCAACAUGAACAUCAUAUCAGAGCUGGUCACUGACCAGCAGGCCCUGCAAGCAGUGGAGACCUUCCUGGACGAGGAGUGUGUGCUGGUGGAGCUGGCCUGCGGGGCUGCGUUAGCAGCUGUGUACUGUGGGGCCAUCCAGAGACUGCAGGGUGAGGGCCGGCUGACGGUUCGCCCAGCAGGGACCUUGUAGUGAUCGUCUGUGGAGGCAGCAGCGUCAAUCAGGCACAGCUGGAACAUCUCAGGAAGGUCCUCAAUAGAUGAACACAGAAAAUGGAACAAUAGAAUUAGAUAAACCUUAGAAGAACACAGUUUGGAAAACCCUGCCGUAGUAGAUUGAACAAUAGUAUAGUUGGCUAUAGCACAUACAGUAUUUAAAAGGCUAUUGGACUCCCACCAGUUUAUGACUCCAGACUGUGUUAAUGAAAUAUUAGGAAGAUGGAUUCUUAAUAGUUUUUGAUUACAGCUUUUUAACUCGCUAUAUACAUUUUCACAAUGUUGACCAAUACUGCCACAAAUUUCUCUGCUUUGUAAUCUGUGCCAAAUUUGGAAAAUCUCUGACAACCUUUUAUUCAUGGAAUGAAAUCUGAAAUAAAAAUUAGUAGUGCUUA